AACGAACGCUGGCGGCAUGCCUAACACAUGCAAGUCGAACGAGACCUUCGGGUCUAGUGGCGCACGGGUGCGUAACGCGUGGGAACCUGCCCUUAGGUUCGGAAUAACUCCCCGAAAGGGGUGCUAAUACCGGAUAAUGUCUUCGGACCAAAGAUUUAUCGCCUUUGGAUGGGCCCGCGUUGGAUUAGCUAGUUGGUAGGGUAAAAGCCUACCAAGGCGACGAUCCAUAGCUGGUCUGAGAGGAUGAUCAGCCACACUGGGACUGAGACACGGCCCAGACUCCUACGGGAGGCAGCAGUGGGAAUAUUGGACAGUGGGCGAAAGCCUGAUCCAGCAAUGCCGCGUGAGUGAUGAAGGCCUUAGGGUUGUAAAGCUCUUUUACCCGGGAUGAUAAUGACAGUACCGGGAGAAUAAGCUCCGGCUAACUCCGUG
rnacentral:rRNA from 1 species